UUACCACCCGCCUACUGCGCUGCCUUGGAUUUGACCAGCGGCUAAGCGUUAGCUGGCUGUUAGCGCGGCUAGCCACAAGCUAGCUGGUAGCUGGGGGGAAUCACUGCCUCGUAGCAGCCGAAGCUAUCGCAGAUAUCCUGCAGAUAUCCGAGGUUGUGGCUGACGUCCAGCCAAAGGUGAAAGGCUCUCAGGCUAAGUUGUUCCCUCCUGGCCACUUUUACUUGCAAGCCUUUGGAACAGUGGGGGCCAAGUGCCAGGGCUCUCUCUGCUCAUGGACCAGAGCCAGCAUUGCUAUUUAGCCUCGAUGCUCACAAGCCACUGAUCAGAUUAGCUCAUAUAGUUGAUUUUGGCCUGGAUUGUAGAAGGACUGCUACCUGGGGGCAUGACUGUCUUUGACAAAAGGAUUUUAGACCUUUAAGCUUCGGGUGGCUCCCCUUGCUGGCUAUGGAGUGGUGUCGACUUCAAACUGGAUGACAGGGUCUCCACGGAGAGCUGACACGCAUCCUGCGUGGACGCACAACUUCUAAGACAGCAGUCGGCCUCAGCCGGAGUGACACUGACUCGCAGCGACAGCUCACUCGCUGGCCAGCCGACCGCAUUGCAAUCCCACUCCUCCUUUUCCUCCUUGCCCAUCUGAAUCCUUUAACCUGCAUUUUUUAUUUGUUUUUUUUUACUUCUGGUCCCCUACCCUCC